rnacentral:rRNA from 1 species
UACAGAGGAUGCAAGCGUUAUCCGGAAUGAUUGGGCGUAAAGCGUCUGUAGGUGGCUUUUUAAGUCCGCCGUCAAUCCCAGGGCUCAACUCUGGACAGGCGGUGGAAACUACCAAGCUGGAGUACGGUAGGGGGCAGAGGGAAUUUCCGGUGGAGCGGUGAAAUGCGUAGAGAUCGGAAAGAACACCAACGGCGAAAGCACUCUGCUGGGCCGAACACUGACACUGAGAGACGAAAGCUAGGGGGAGCAAAUGGG